UACGUAGGGGGCAAGCGUUGUCCGGAUUCAUUGGGCGUAAAGAGCGUGUAGGCGGCCAGGUAGGUCGGUUGUGAAAACUGGAGGCUCAACCUUCAGACGUCGACCGAAACCAUCUGGCUAGAGUCCGGGAGAGGAGAGUGGAAUUCCUGGUGUAGCGGUGAAAUGCGCAGAUAUCAGGAAGAACACCCGUGGCGAAAGCGGCUCUCUGGAACGGUACUGACGCUGAGACGCGAAAGCGUGGGGGGCGAACAGG
rnacentral:rRNA from 1 species